CCGGGCCCCUCCCUCUGCCAGGCCCAUGCUGGGCACCUCCCACAGAUGCCAUCACUCAAUUCCCGAAGAACCCAGUGAGCAGCCCCAGGGUGGAGACCCCCAGAGACCCUCAAGAAAGCCAUGGUGCAAAACUCUUCCCUGGGGGUCAGACCUAGGUUUGAGUUCCUGCUCACCCACCGGCUCGCUGUGUGACCUGGAGCCAGUGCCGCCUCUUCUCUGGACCUCACUCUUUCCAUCUGCAACAUGGGAGGGCUGAACUCAGUGGCUUUCAAACCUUUCAUCAUUGGAACUCUGAAGAGC
ensembl:lncRNA